CAGAUAAGUGGACACAGUGUACCCCAGACGGAGACGAGUUGAAGCAGCCUGGGAAGAAGAUGGGGCCCAAUCGGUCUCAAGGCGUAGCGGCUCAGCAGGGAGACGAGCGAGGUGCCGAAGGUCCAUCCGAUCAGAGGUCAAGCUAAAGGAGCCCGAGAUAGCCAGUAUGAGGCAGUACAUCAGCACAAGCCUCCAUGUCUGGGUUGUCUUGCAGCGGCCGUCUGUCCACUUCACAGGGCGAUCUUGGGAGCAGCUGAAGAGAGAGGAGCUUUCUAGGUAUCCCGGAAGGUGACAGCCACAGUGUUGGACUCCGGUCAGGGCCUCGGUGAUGUUGACUUGGAGUACUCUCAUGACAACAGGAACCUCUGAGCCAGCCCAGGUGCCCCUCCUGUGCAUUGAAGAUGGAUUCACAGCCCCGGGUCUCGGAAAGAUAAGUGCAGGGCAAAGACCCAGAGAGGGGUUGGGAGUCGGGGCAAGUAUGUGCAUUGCCCGGAGGGAUUUUUGCAAUUAGUAUGGUGCAAUGGGUGUCCUGUAGCAGGUUAUUUAGAGACCUCAAAGGAAGGGCUUACUUUGUAUCAUUGGAUUCCCGUGUGCAGGGCAGAGCAGUUCCGGUCUGUGUCACGUCCUUUGUCUCCUCCAUGUUUGUGUCCUUUGUCUCUUAAUUGUGUCACGUGGUGUGUGUCAUCACAGGUAUGGGGUGUCUCACUUGGGGUCAGCCUGGAACUGCUCUGCCCUGCUACGUGGAUCAGUGGGUAGAUAGAAUAUUGCUCAGUCUCACAUCAACAUGUCAGUUCCCUCAGACAGUUGAGCCUACGGCUGUACAGUCUGUGAGCAGGAUUGUCUUGCGAUGCCCUGCUUGGGUGUAUAGAGUCACAGCUAGGUAGAGUAGCAAACAGUGUCUAUGGUAUGGGCAUUUGUCAGGGGUCUUUGGGCUUAUAAAAUGUAUAGGCUCAGUUUGGGGGUAAGUCCAAGGUCACAG